CCAUAAUUGAGGAGGCCCGGGAGAACCAGCUCAUAACCUUAUACUUCCCAUGCAUACCUCUAUGACAACCCAAAAUUCGGACAACAUCAUAUCGCAUAUAAAAGAAAAUAAUCACCUGUAUAAGCUCGAGCACACAUAUAUAAGUAUAUACAAUGCUAGGCCAUUGGAGCCAUCACGUCUAUUAACAAUACACAGAGUUUAACUAAGGUCGGGACACACCCCGCCA
rnacentral:lncRNA from 1 species